rnacentral:rRNA from 1 species
AGUGGCGGACGGGUGAGGAAUACAUCGGAAUCUACCUUUUCGUGGGGGAUAACGUAGGGAAACUUACGCUAAUACCGCAUACGACCUUCGGGUGAAAGCAGGGGACCUUCGGGCCUUGCGCGGAUAGAUGAGCCGAUGUCGGAUUAGCUAGUUGGCGGGGUAAAGGCCCACCAAGGCGACGAUCCGUAGCUGGUCUGAGAGGAUGAUCAGCCACACUGGAACUGAGACACGGUCCAGACUCCUACGGGAGGCAGCAGUGGGGAAUAUUGGACAAUGGGCGCAAGCCUGAUCCAGCCAUACCGCGUGGGUGAAGAAGGCCUUCGGGUUGUAAAGCCCUUUUGUUGGGAAAGAAAAGCAGUCGAUUAAUACUCGGUUGUUCUGACGGUACCCAAAGAAUAAGCACCGGCUAACUUCGUGCCAGCAGCCGCGGUAAUACGAAGGGUGCAAGCGUUACUCGGAAUUACUGGGCGUAAAGCGUGCGUAGGUGGUUGUUUAAGUCUGUUGUGAAAGCCCUGGGCUCAACCUGGGAAUUGC